AUUGAACGCUAGCGGGAUGCUUUACACAUGCAAGUCGAACGAGUGGCGGACGGGUGAGUAAUAUAUCUGAACGUGCCCAGUAGCGGGGGAUACCUACUCGAAAGAGUGGCUAAUAACGCCUUCAAUUGGAGCGGCCGCUAUCGGAUUAGCUAGUUGGUGGGGUAAAGGCUCACCAAGGCAACGAUCCGUAGUUGGUUUGAGAGGACGACCAGCCACAAUGGGACUGAGACACGGCCCAGACUCCGACGGGAGGCAGCAGUGGGGAAUUUUGGACAAUGGGGGAAACCCUGAUCCAGCCAUCCCGCGUGUAUGAGAAGGCCUUCGGGUUGUAAAGUACUUUUGGCAGAGAAGCGGUAUCUGCAGAAUAAGCACCGGCUAACUACGUGCCAGCAGCCGCGGUAAUUC
rnacentral:rRNA from 1 species